UACGUAGGGUGCGAGCGUUAAUCGGAAUUACUGGGCGUAAAGCGUGCGCAGGCGGUUUUGUAAGACAGGCGUGAAAUCCCCGGGCUCAACCUGGGAAUGGCGCUUGUGACUGCAAAGCUGGAGUGCGGCAGAGGGGAUGGAAUCGCGGUGUAGCAGUUCGAAAUGCGUAGAUAUGCGGAGGAACACCGAUGGCGAAGGCAAUCCCUGGGCCUGCACUGACGCUCAUGCACGAAA
rnacentral:rRNA from 1 species